rnacentral:rRNA from 1 species
GACGAACGCUGGCGGCGUGCUUAACACAUGCAAGUCGAACGGAAAGGCCCUGCUUUCGUGGGGUGCUCGAGUGGCGAACGGGUGAGUAACACGUGAGUAACCUGCCCUUGACUUUCGGAUAACUUCAGGAAACUGGGGCUAAUCUCGGAUAGGAGCUCCUGCUGCAUGGUGGGGGGUGGAAAGUUUCGGCGGGUGGGGAUGGACUCGCGGCUUAUCAGCUUGUUGGUGGGGUAGGUGCUUACCAAGGCAUUGACGGGUAGCCGGCCUGGGAGGGUGAACGGCCACAUUGGGACUGAGAUAGGGCCCAGACUCCUACGGGAGGCAGCAGUGGGGAAUAUUGCACAAUGGGCGGAAGCCUGAUGCAGCAGCGCCGCGUGCGGGAUGACGGCCUUCGGGUUGUGAACAGCUUUCGCCUGUGACGAAGCGUGAGUGACGGUAAUGGGUAAAGAAGCACCGGCUAACUACGUG